ensembl:snoRNA U3 Small nucleolar RNA U3
AAGACUAUACUUUCAGGGAUUAUUUCUGCAGUUUGUUACUAAAGAAGUUUUUAUGAAUCUGUAGAGAAAAACAAAAACACAAGCAAAAUUUGUGCU